AAUCUUAACCUCAUACGGUCAAAUCUGACCUGAACUCAACCUCAACCUGUUUAACUCGGAUAAUCAAAGUCCCUCACAAUCCACUUGAAGUACCUAUAACGACUUUGGAAAGUUUUGCCAGUCCUCUUUGCUGAGUGUCGACCAUGCGCUUGCUCAAGAACAAAGCUUUGCAGUUGUUGUUCCCCAAGUGUUCUAUACCCAAACUAGAGUGAGACUACACAUUCUCGCCAAAUUAUCCCUUAAAAUUAGAGGUGUUGGACAUGCUUAUUAUCUCCAUCAGAAAAUGUUAGUAUCAUCCGAGCGUAAUUCUAGAAGCUACCGCCAAUUUCAACAGAUAUUACUGAUGUUAUCACCAUUCACUAAUCACUUCGGACAUUUCGGAUAAAAGAAAAAAAAAUUCACAUGGAGGUUUUAAAUCAUGCACGUUGCAACCAAAGGCAAGACGCUAAUUGACUACAUGAAGAAAUAAUCAGAGGCGGAAGACACUCAAUUGUGCUUGAAGAAUGCAGAAUAAAGCUCAAUAUAUAAAGCCAGAUAGCAUGAGACUUAUUUUCUCUAAUAAGGAAUCAGAUCCUUAUCUAGCAUUUGAAUUGUUUGGAAGGCCAGGAUUGAAUCAACUUGUCAGAUUUUUACUCAGUCUAAGACCCUAAGCUACAUACUUCACAAUGAGAAGCUAAACGGGUGAUUCAGAAAGGAAGGAGCUAAAGAAGUGCAGAAAUCACAGUGACGGGGAUGAUGAAACUGUCCAGAAAUAGAUCAUCAAAUCCUGCACCUUUCUGGGUUUUUAAAAGCUCUCUUCCAUUACUUAGCCAACUCCAUCGCGUCCACAUCCAAUACUUCUAAGGCUUAUUCUUAUCGCCUUGAAAUGCUCCUUCGAGGAGGUGAUGUAUGUAAACGGCAAUUAGAGACUGAGAUUUCAAAUGAAUUGAAUUCAUUAAUUCUGAGUAUCUCAUUACUCGAACUCAUCUCGAUUGUCAUACGGAGUUGGCUAGUGUUCUUAUUGCUUUUACGUGAUUAAGAAAACGUAUCAAGUUUGGGAUGUCUCUAUUACCAAAUAUUGGCAAUUGAACAUCACCAUUCAAGCCAUUGAGAGCAAUAAUCACUGUAAGCAUAACUUAAGGGCACUAACAUAAGGGCACUAACACUGCGAAUUGCUCGAAAGAGCUCUGUGCCUCUUGUUUGUCAGACGCGACUUGUAACUUCUUCUCUGACAUUCAUUUUUAACUUUAUUAGUGAUGUUGAAGUAAGUUUGAUAAAUGUUAUCAUUAGUUUUAGACCCUUGUAUUUGUUUGCUCUGGUAUGGGAUAUUCUUGUGCUACUUCUAAAUUGUAUCCUGUAAUCCAAAACUAUUUAAUUUAUGAAGUAUCAAAUUGUAUCCAGUAAUCCUGUAAUAGUUUUGAAUAUAUUGACAUUUAUAUUUUCAUCUCUAAUUGUCAGAGCA